GGAGAAGUACCCAAGCGGCUGAAGGGGUUAGUCUCGAAAACUGAUAGUGGGCGCAAGUCCAGCGAGGGUUCAAAUCCCUCCUUCUCCGCCA
rnacentral:tRNA from 1 species